rnacentral:lncRNA from 1 species
CCAGCACCAGCACCAGCACCAGCACCAUCAAUAUUAAGCUUGUAAUGUCCUUUCAUUGGUGGAGACCAACGAAUUAGGAAUGGAGUUCUAGUCCCAAUUUGAAUGAUCUCCAAACCAAGUUUAGUUAGCGAAUCUUUGAACUGCACAUGCAUACUUCGAAUAGGUUUAAUGAUGAGAUUAAACUCCUCAUCACCUUCUGACAAAUCUAAGAAACAUUACACUGUAUCUCAUUAUAUUUGGCAUCAUUUCUGGAUAGCCAAAGUUCCCAUGUAAUCAAAGCUGGGACAACUUUAGCAAGGAAAUGGAAUUGAGAAAGUCCAUGAAUCUGAGCAUCCCAAGCCAAGAUAAUCGACUUCCAACAGAUGUAAUUGAUAAGUUUAAUACCCAAAAUUGAGC